UCCCCAUCUGCACUCACUGCUGCACCCUUCUCCCAGCGUGCCUCCAACACCCAGAUCACGCAGGAGAGCCCCGCCUGGGAACUCGGGUCUCUAGUCAAAGAGUUGCGAGAAGUGAUUUCGGAGAACCGCGGACCACACACAGAUAACAGGAGGAGGUCUGCACCGGAGACAGUCCACAGAACCACGCUCAGUAUUGACAAGGCAGAAGAAGUAAAAGCUGGCUCCAGAUUGAGAAGAAAAACCUGCAGCAGCGAGCCACAUUUCCUGAAGGCCGCUGGGCUCAACGGAAAAGCAAUCAACAACAAAUCCUUCAAUGAGAGCCGUGUCAUUUCGAGUCCAGCAACUGCAGCGUGGUACACAUCCUCCCCACAGCUGCUCUCACUGGGCCGCAGGUCACCCGUCCACUCUCUCCUGACCUCUGACCCAAACAGCUGACAGUGACACAACAGACAUGAGGCCGACCCCUCUUACCGGUAAAUUGUUAAUAUUUUGUGCAUCAUAUAUACACAGACUGAGUCAUUUGUAGCUUUUUCUUCAAAAACGGUAUAUUACUAUUAUCACACUGUACAUUAAUGAGAGGGGAGGCUGAACAACAUUCACGCAAAAGUCAAAUUCACUUUAAUACAGUUUAUUAAUAGCAAUGAUAAGACAUUUCACAUGAAAUGUCAUAGCACACAAGUCUGAUGUGUCAGGAUGUAAUGACGCGACAAAGUCCAUUUCAGUAACAGUAAAGUUCCCUGUUAGGCGUGUCCUUUAGCAACUCACAGACCUUUUUCAUAUAACUGUGUAAAUGUUAUUUAAUGAUCAUAAUCUCUGUAAUCCCAUUCCUC